rnacentral:rRNA from 1 species
GACGAACGCUGGCGGCGUGCCUAAUACAUGCCAGUUGAGCGCUGAAGGUUGGUACUUGUACCAACUGGAUGAGCAGCGAACGGGUGAGUAACGCGUGGGGAAUCUGCCUUUGAGCGGGGGACAACAUUUGGAAACGAAUGCUAAUACCGCAUAAAAACUUUAAACACAAGUUUUAAGUUUGAAAGAUGCAAUUGCAUCACUCAAAGAUGAUCCCGCGUUGUAUUAGCUAGUUGGUGAGGUAAAGGCUCACCAAGGCGAUGAUACAUAGCCGACCUGAGAGGGUGAUCGGCCACAUUGGGACUGAGACACGGCCCAAACUCCUACGGGAGGCAGCAGUAGGGAAUCUUCGGCAAUGGACGAAAGUCUGGCCGAGCAACGCCGCGUGAGUGAAGAAGGUUUUCGGAUCGUAAAACUCUGUUGGUAGAGAAGAACGUUGGUGAGAGUGGAAAGCUCAUCAAGUGACGGUAACUACCCAGAAAGGGACGGCUAACUACGUG